CUUUUGAUCUCGGAUGUAAUAAGCGACGUACGAAGAACGGGCCCCUGUUCCCGCGGUCACACUGGGGAUUGUUUUGCUGAACGGCACUAAACCGAUUCCCAGUCAUUUCCAGUGGUAGCGCUGAACCACUACGGAUGCGAUAUACUUUUGGCCACUGACGCUUUGUGGCGCUGUUCCGAGCUUUUCCGCCGCCGGGAAAUUAGAAAUCGCCAUUUUACUUUCGUCCGAGUGAGAGAGAGAGAGAGAGAGAGAGAGAGAGAGAGCGCGCAGGUUGCUGAAUUACUGUAGUUCAUCAUUACUGUAAUUAUUAUUCAACGCUUUUUAGCUCAGCGAUCAAAGGUCAUCAUGCACAAAAAAGUUGUGUUUUUCCCAGGAAAACCAUAUCUCCUUCAGGAGCCAACUGAGGAGGCCAGGCUGAUCAAAAACAACCCGUCUCUGCAGGACAAGUCAGCACCAGUGAAGGAGGAGCUUGUCAGACAAAAUGCUCUGACUGUCGUCCGUCAGCGAGGAGGCGAUGUCUCAGAUGUCUCGCUGGCAAAUACAAGGGGAAGUCCUUUCCCUUAUCCCAGGGAUCCUCUAAUUCUUGUCUUUCACCAACACAGAGAUGGAUGAAGAUAAUGAGUUGGAGAGUGCAAUGCUGAACAUCUCCCCCCCCCUCCAAGCUACGGGAGCAGUCUCCACCACCAUCAUCAUCGUCAUCAUCAUCCUCAGCUGCUGAACUGAGACAGUCCACGGAAACAGGAAAAGGUUUUUACACAUUAAGCUCAGCACUGGAGCACAGUUAUAGUGAAUUGUGAGAUGAAAUGGUCUCCAAGUCUGAACGAAAAUCCUUUUUGUCAGUGUUUUUACCAUGUUCUGGCCAUGUUUCACUAACAGCUGUGUGUGCUGUUGGCAAUAUACUAACUGUCUAAGGGGCUAUGACUUGAUUCCUCGACCAUGAUGAACUGAUACCAGCCACAAUCAGGUACCAUCUGCUGCCCUCUCCAUACCACCCGCUGACACUAAAAAGGAACCAGUUGAUGACUUGCCAGCUCUGAAAUCGCCUGUGCCUCUUCUUAAACAGCUGAUGUUUCUUGUGCCAGAACAAUCACGUUCCACACGCACUGAGAGAACGGUUUCAACUACAGAUGUGUUUUAUGUCAUGUUUAUUAAGUUCACCUAAAUUUACAUUGUGCAUCAUAACUGUUUAGCAUUUAAAAUUACACAUAAGAUUUAUAAUCCCUCACCUCUUAUACAAAUAAUUGCUAAUAGAAGAAUGGUACUCCGCUCAGGAGACAGCAGCAUCAUAGACAGCUCUCCAGCAUGCAGGACACUUACUUUAGAGGAAUGUGGCAAAGAUGAAAAUCUCUCAUCUUGACAGACCACUUCACAUAGUGUCCCACGCACAGCUGAGGCAUCACAUGUGUGCAGCCCACUGCCUCUGCAACAGACAGGUCAAAGCACAUCAGCCCUUCCUAAGAUGCCCUCCUCCACAACCUCCUGGCUACGAUCAUGAUGUCCUCCAGUGGAAGUGUUCCCAUCAGCAGAGGAUCCGGAUGAAGACAGAGCUGUAAUGCAUGGGUCUAUAGUCAGGCUCGCGUCCUGUGAGAUAUAUCUUUUGGUUGUAUCUUUCACUUGUGGUGAAUAUUUAACUAAUGUAGAUAUACUUUUUUUACUUUAUUUUACAGUGUAAUUAAGUUUAUAUUAAUAUGUAUAUAUGAGCAGACUGAUGCGUGUGUAUGUGUUUCUUCAGUAUUAUUACUUUUGGUUUUCACUGCUCUUUUGAAGUGUUUAAAAUGCAAA